rnacentral:lncRNA from 1 species
CAAUGCUCAUUUGUUUUUAUGAUUCCAAAGGUAUUAUUCAUUAGGAAUUUGUUCCAGAGGAUCAAACAGUUACUAGUAAAUUUUAUUUAGGAUGUUUCGGGGCAUUUUUGGGGAAAAAUUGUAUAAUAAACAAGAUCUAAAUGUAAAGAACCUGUCUGUAAGUUUCUCUUAUAUGGCAAUGCACUGACAUAUAAGAGACCACUGCCAUCUGUUUUUGACCCAAGACUAUUGCCAUCAAGCAAUUUCUGGUUCAAAAACAAAUGUGCAUUCUUGACUUCCAACUUAUUCUCCAGCUUUUAGCACCAUGUGAAUAUUCUGUUUCUAAAACUAAAAAUAAUAAUGACAAAAGAGAUCCAAUAUGAUAAUAGUAAGCAAAGUUGCUAUGACAAAGAUACUUGACAAGAUUCUGAAAUAAGAGCUUUGGAGCUCCAAAAAUCAUUCUGCUCUUUAUUUGAUCAUUCCAAACACUAUCAACACAGAAGGAACAUAUUUUGAAUAAUAAUAAAUUUAUAUUAAUAUGGCCAUUGUUUCAUUUUUUUUACAGCAUCAGUCCAAUUAUUUAUCAAACAUACUGUAUACAUAAUUUGUUUAUGUUACUGUUAAUGUGGGUAUGUAUUAUAUAAAAUUAUAUAAAUAAUAUAUGAUUAUUUAAUGUCUGUAUUAGAUUCCUGAAAACUGUGAUAUUCACUGAAACUUCUUAUCAGUGUGUCGAGCCUCCAACUGCCAAGUAUGGCAUUGCACCAUAUCUUUGGCUUUGAUUUGACCUCCUUGUCAUCUCUGCCCCAUCCUUUUUUUAGCACUUAUUUUAAUAGAUAUAUCCACCUCGUUCUCUUUCAACCAUCGUGUUAAUUAUUUCAGGCCCCAGCAGCUAUGCUCCAUGAACAAACUAAUUCAUUUUUAUUAAAUAAUAGAACAAUUUAAACUUACAAAUGAUUAAUCAACUAGAAUUUCUGUCAAACAACCCAUCGAGAUAAUAUAAACAAAAUCCUUUCUUCAAAUCAACAAUUCUGCAAUUGUCCAUAAAGACUGUACACCAUGUUAUCCUCUUCGGGAGACAAACAGUCCAUGAAUUGCCACCAACACACUUUACCUGAAGACAACACUAAACUCAAAAGUUCACAAUCGCUGUCCAUAAGGAAGAUGACGACAACAUCAAGACAAAGACAACACCAAGUUAAACACCAGGGACAACGAAGAAACAUAACAGUCUCCAGCUUCACUCAGUGGCCAAAGUCUUAUACUACAUCUUAUUUGCAUGUCAAACUGUAUCCAUCAAAUAAAACUUACUCAAACAAUUUAUCUGCAGUGUUAUCUUACUAAAAUAAAACAACCAUUUUUUUCCUUCUUUUAAC